rnacentral:rRNA from 1 species
UACGGAGGGAGCUAGCGUUGUUCGGAAUUACUGGGCGUAAAGCGCACGUAGGCGGCGAUUCAAGUCAGAGGUGAAAGCCCGGGGCUCAACCCCGGACUGCCUUUGUAAACUAGAUUGCUAGAAUCCUGGAGAGGUUAGUGGAAUUCCGAGUGUAGAGGUGAAAUUCGUAGAUAUUCGGAAGAACACCAGUGGCGAAGGCGACUAACUGGACAGGUAUUGACGCUGAGGUGCGAAAGCGUGGGGAGCAAACAGGAUUAGAUACCCGUGUAGU